GCGUGGAUGAAGAAGGUCUUCGGAUUGUAAAGUCCUUUCGACGGGGACGAUGAUGACGGUACCCGUAGAAGAAGCCCCGGCUAACUUCGUGCCAGCAGCCGCGGUAAUACGAAGGGGGCUAGCGUUACUCGGAAUUACUGGGCGUAAAGGGCGCGUAGGCGGCGAGAUAAGUCAGGCGUGAAAUUCCCGGGCUCAACCUGGGGACUGCGCUUGAGACUGUUUUGCUAGAGGAUGGAAGAGGGUCGUGGAAUUCCCAGUGUAGAGGUGAAAUUCGU
rnacentral:rRNA from 1 species